UACGUAGGGGGCAAGCGUUGUCCGGAUUUAUUGGGCGUAAAGCGCGCGCAGGCGGUUUAUUAAGUCUGAUGUGAAAGCCCACGGCUCAACCGUGGAGGGCCAUUGGAAACUGGUAGGCUUGAGUGCAGGAGAGGAGAGCGGAAUUCCCGGUGUAGCGGUGAAAUGCGUAGAUAUCGAGAGGAACACCAGUGGCGAAGGCGAGUCCCUGGACAACACCUGACACUGAGGCACGAAAGCUAGGGGAGCAAACAGG
rnacentral:rRNA from 1 species